rnacentral:rRNA from 1 species
CAGGCCUAACACAUGCAAGUCGUACGCGAAAGGGGCUUCGGUCCUGAGUAGAGUGGCAAACGGGUGAGUAACACGUGGGUGACCUGCCUUCGAGUGGAGGAUAACGUCCCGAAAGGGACGCUAAUACCGCAUGACAUCCUGCCUUUGGAAAGGUGGAGAUCAAAGCUGGGGAUCGCAAGACCUGGCGCUUGAAGAGGGGCCCGCGCCUGAUUAGCUAGUUGGUGGGGUAAUGGCCUACCAAGGCAACGAUCAGUAUCCGGCCUGAGAGGGCGGACGGACACACUGGGACUGAGACACGGCCCAGACUCCUACGGGAGGCAGCAGUGGGGAAUUGUUCGCAAUGGGCGCAAGCCUGACGACGCAACGCCGCGUGGAGGAUGAAGAUCUUCGGGUCGUAAACUCCUGUCGAGCGGGACGAACACCUUCCGGGUGAAUACCUCGGAGGGCUGACGGUACCGCUAAAGGAAGCCCCGGCUAACUCCGUGCCAGCAGCCGCGGUAAUACGGGGGGGGCAAGCGUUGUUCGGAAUUACUGGGCGUAAAGGGCGCGUAGGCGGCCCGCUAAGUCGAACGUGAAAUCCCCGAGCUCAACUCGGGAACUGCGUCCGAUACUGGCGGGCUUGAAUCCGGGAGAGGGAUGCGGAAUUCCAGGUGUAGCGGUGAAAUGCGUAGAUAUCUGGAGGAACACCGGUGGCGAAGGCGG